rnacentral:rRNA from 1 species
GGGUAAACCUGGGAACAAGCCUCUUUGAGUAUCGAUUCGAACCAUCUCAGUUUGCGUGGUUGUCAUGACCAAUGCAGGGGGUGGAGACUGAGCGUUUUUGCUUGACAUCCGAGGGAAGUCGCUUUAAAUUCAUUUCACCAUAGUUUGAACUUUUGGGGUCCUCCAGGGACGGGGAUUCGCUCAAAUAGGUGAUGGUGAAAAUUAUUUACAUUUGGGGUACGGGGCGUUUCAAGCGAGACCAGGGGAUUCAUGUUUUUGGUUCAACAACUUAACUUUUAGAACUUGAUCUCAGAUGAAGCAGGAUUACCCGCCGAAUUUAAGCAUAUUAUUAAGCGGUGGAAAAGAAACUAACAAGGAUUCCCCUAGUAACGGCGAGUGAAGCGGGAAAAGCUCAACCUGAAAAUCGGUGCGGUUUCACGCCGCAUCGAAUUGUGGGCUAGAGACGUCUCCUCAGCAGUGACCCGGGUAUAAAUCUUUUGGAACAAGGUAUCAUAGAGGGUGAGAAUCCCGUCUUUGACCUGGAGUUCGCUGCGUACGAG